GUCCUGGGCCACUACCUCCUGCUCCUCUUUCUCCUGGCCCUGCAAGCCCAGAAUGCCCAGAGUGCUCCAACACCUGGGCAGGGAGCAGUUGUGGACACAGAGAGAACUCUUUCAGCCCCUGAGCUGGAGCCAAAUACCAUGCUGAUUCCGAGCUGGUACCUCAAGCGUGAGUCAUCAGUCUCUACCGCCUUCACGAGAAUGAGCACUCCUUUCUCCUUUUCCCUGUGUUAUUCAUGAGAAAUACACCUUCAUAGGUAUGUCAUCCUUUCAUAAAUCUAACAAUAGGGAAUAAUUAUGACAAGGUUCCUGAAGAAUUCCCUGAAGGAUUCCCAGAUGUUUCAGAGGAGCUCCUGAACACCUUGCAUGAAGCCCCAUCUGGUUAGUAUAUCCCACUCUGUUAACCCUGGGACCUGGGAAGCUGAGCUUUUGGUUCCUGGAGGGAUGUGCUGUAUCCUGGACAGCCAGAAGUGCUGCAGGGAUUUCACACCAUUUCACACCUCCUGGAGUGAGCCAUAGAGAUGGUCCAGCACAGCGUCUGCUCACAGCUCUGCUUCCAGACGAUUGCCAGGGGCAUCUCCAGAUGCUGCUGCAAUUGUACCAUUACUGGCCAGAGCUGCUGUGUGCAGACACUGGCAUCCAGAUGUGGGGAAAAGGCCUGUGCUGAAUUUGUGUUCGCCUCACACUCAGCACAGCAUGGAGGCAGAAAUGCUAUCCCACAAAAUCUUGGCUGCCCCUGCCAAACCUCAGGCUCAGGGAUGGGCUGAAGCUGGACCCCAAGUGUGAGGGUGAACCUGGAGGUAUUCCUUCUGUGGGUCAUUUGGUUGAUUAAGUCUUGGCUGGUUUGGGUCUGCAUUUCUUGUUGCACUGCAGAAAAUCUGGCUAUGGAUUCCUCUUGUCUUGGGGGACAGCAGGCUCCUCACUGCCACUUGCCAGAAUGCCCGGCCACGGUACUGUGCUCUUGGAAAGGGACAGUGGCUUCUGGUUACAGUGUCCAGUGUUUUUUUCUGAAGAGACGGAUUCUGAGACUGUGCUGGAGACCUUCCCUAUGGAAGAAAAUGGCAGCCUGCCAGGCUCAGAUGAAGAAAGAGAACCAACAGAGGACACCAGCACACUUGCUGAGCCUGGGGAAUAUUCAUGGUCAGCUGCUGGGCAAAAAGCCAAGACUGCUGGACAGUGGGAAUUUAGCAAGAACUACAUUCUAGCAUCUGUAGCAGUCUCGGCUCUGCUGCUGCUUGCAGCAGUGGUUGGGUACAUAAUCAUGUACCAGGCUGCUGAAGCGAGACAUGUGAGUUAUUCAUUGCUGCCAUUGGCAAUGAAGGGUUUGCACCAGGCUGGAGUGCCCAGGCAGCUCCUAGCAAGGCUCUGUGGAAACCGCUGCAGUGCAAUGCUUUAACUGUGCUCCAAAUUCAUAUCUAUGAGGAGUCUUGGAAAUCUGUUUCUACAGCAGGACUCAGGAAGACAAGGAGGCAACAAGACAGGACUGGGACUCUUCCAGGGAAAGCUGUGGUCUGCCUAGACGUGAAGCAGAAUCAAGCUGCCGCCUGUUUCCUGAGGUCUUUGCAGCAGAGCUUGCCCAGGUGUACAAGAACAUGGGCACAGACCGCUCACCUCUGCCCAUGUGUUCCUUCUGUGCUCUGGCUGACGGUGCUUCUUCACGGGACCACUGGAUUUCCCUGGACUCACCUCAGCCCACACCAUUCUGGUGCCCCUGCUACCAGUACCAGCAGGAACACUUUAUAUUAGGGGACCAUGAUUAGUGAUAGUGAGAGUUAUAAAUAGUGAUAGGGAUGGUGACACCUGCAGUGAUACUUUUAGUGGUAGUGACACUUUUAGUGAUAGUGAUACUUUAUAUUAGAGGAUAACGAUUAUUUUACUGAUAGUGGUAGCAUAUAAAUAAAUGUAUUUCCAAAAGCAGUAAGUCCUUGGCUGUUGCGGAUGUUUCUGUUGGGGUAGAAUGCACAGAGCUGGGAGCAGGUCUGGGGCUGGUAGAGGAGCUCUGAGCAACUUGCACUGCAGUGCAGGAGCUGUUUGUGCCAGCCUCAGCCUGCUUUCCCAGCAGUGGCCAGUAACAAGGCUUUCCUUCACCAGAAUAAGGACACGCUAGUGAGGAGUGACAUGCAGAAACUCCUCUACGAGCUCAUUUGGGAUGCUGCCCAGAAUCAGGAAGGUCUGGACAGAGAGGAUAGGAUGUUGUGGGAAGGAUGGCUGUCCAGUGCUAAUCACAUCAAGGAGACCUGAGAUCGUGACUUAGAUCAUGGGGGAUGUGGCAGUUCCCUCCCCAAAGAACUCAAAGAGGAUCAAGGAGCAGAAAGCUGGAGCUGGGCUGUGUGAGAUGCAGAGGGGAAGGAAUGCGAUACUAGUCACAGGAGCAUUACUAAAAAUUAUAUUGAUAACAGAGAGAGCAGUUAUAAUAAAAAACACAGUAUUUUCCCACUCACUAUGGGAAAAAAGCCGAAGGUGGAGCAAAGCUUGGGAAGUUUGCUCUGGGCUUUUGCUUGAGCAAGUGCGGCAGUUGCAGGCUGUGUGUGGCUCCUUAGUUGCUGUUUUGGGACUUGGCUUUUGUUUCAGGGAGAUUAAGACCAAAGCAAUACAGACCUGGGCAUUUCCUGCUCAAUUUCUAAAGUAACGGAAUGUAGGACUGUGAAGAAGGCCGUUGAGGUAGAAAGAAGUGACAGAGUGCCCGCCUCAGAUGAAGAAAGUGAGGCAGUGCAAGAAACCAGCAUGAUGGAAUAGCUGCCCUGGGAUGAUGAGUCAGAUUCACUGUGGUCCCGCAGGCCUUUCCUCAUGCCUGCUCCAGCUUGGCCACCUACAGCCAAAGCUGGAGGUGUGAGUGCAGCAAAGCUGUUGUCCAGAAUCACGGCACAGGCUCUGAGGCUGAUUGUUGCCUGCAGUGUGUGGGGAGGAUAUUGCCAGCAGCAAUUGCCAGAGAGAUGCUUGACGGCAUCUCUGGACACUGUGGGGUUUUGGAGGGGUUCUUACACUUUUAGCUCAGGCAGUAAAGACUGUCCCAAGACAAUGCUAUUCCCUUUGAAGUGCUGAAGAGGAACCACUGAGCUCCUCACCCUUGUCCCUCUCCUCUCCACAGCAGCUCCAGCUCCACCUCUGGGCUGUCUCUCAUGGGGCUCUUAGCAGCCUCUGAGAUACCCCACCUCCUGAGAGGGCAGCCCAAGCUCUUUUCAGAAGAGAGCUGUGCCUCAACACUUGAACCAAGCCUUGCAAACUCUUGUGAUAUAGACAUCCACACUUGCAGCCCUGCAGAUGCACAUGUGAACUGAGAUGCACAUGUGGGACACAUGCAUGCCCAUGCCCUGCAGUGCUAUUUCUGAAAUGCCCGGGCUGCUUCUGAGGGAGCUGACGUGCCACUGCAGCAGGAAAACACCUCUGCAUACAAGGGGCUGCAGCAACAACCACCCCUGGGUUUCUCCUUGUGUGUUGUUCUGUUCAGUCGCCAGUCCCUUGGUUUCUCGCUAUAUUCCUGUUCUCUCCCACUCCCUCUCUGUCUUGCUGUCUAUCCAAAGCUUCUUCAACAAUCUCCAUCCCGCCCCAACCCAGACUUCGUUCUCUCCUACUCAUUCUGCUCCUUUCUGCUCAUUCUGCGUCUCUUCCUCUUUCCCUGCUGCGUCUUCCUGCAGCUCUGCUCCCAUUCCCUGCCCCUCUUUUGCUCUCGUUGCCUCUCCGUUCUGCUUCCUGUCCCUGUCUCUUCUGUCUUUAUUUCUCGGCUCUGCUCCCUGUGCCACGCUCAGCUCAGACUCCCAGGCGAGCUGCCCCGGCAGCCGGGACACGGCGGAGAGCUCUCCUGCAGCAGCGGCGAAUCGGGCCCGGGAGAGGCGCCUCGGCCCUCGGGCCGGAGCGGGGGCGCUCCGCGCCAGCGGGAGCAGCUGGAGCUGCGGCCCGGGAGGCGGGGCGGGCACAGCCCCACAGCCCCGUUCCCGCCCCUCAUGGCCACAAUGGGAAAGAACAGGGGUUCUCUUGGGAAACCAAGAGACUGGCAACUGGACAGAGCAACACACAAGGGGAAACCCAGGGGCGGUUUUUGCUGCAGCCCAAUAAAUCCAGAGGUGUUUUCCUGCUGCAGUGGUUGCUCCGAGCCAGCGGGAGCAGCUGGAGCUGCGGGGCGGGCACAGCCCCACAACCGCGUGCCCGCCCCUCACGGCCCCGUGCGAAAUGGCGGCAGCAGGGGGCAAGGAGGCCGCGGGCCCCGGGCAGCGCUGCCUCCGUGCCGUGCCACACACGCGGCAGGCGGCUUCAGCAGCAGCACAGGUCUCGGGGCACUGGUCCCACAGCUGGUGACGAGCCGCCGAGCAGCGCAAUGCCUCGAGUGCGUUAAAGGAGAGACUGGGUGUAUAACCCGUUAAAGGAACAAAGAAGGGCAGUGUUCAUCGGUGCCACCCCUCGGGCAGGAAUAGAGGGCCCGAGAUAGCACUCAGACUCAAUGCCGAGGCAGCUGGGCAGCCUGCCUGGCUUCUGGGCAGGAGAUGUCACCAAGACAUCCUCCAGCCUGGUACGGCCCUCUGCUUAUCAUUAUGUGCCACAGCCUUCAAGGUGGGCUGUGAUCUGUGCUCAAUUCCAGAGGAUGGCAUUGGCCAAGCUGAUGCGGCUUGUCGGUUGGAGUCUGCUUAUGAGCCUUGGAGAGACACCCUAAAGGGGGAAAUCUGUCCGUGCCUCUGUGCUUGCAGCUCUAAACACCUGGGGGUUAACUGGUGCUUCAGGGGCAAUUAUACCAAAGGUGCUCUAGAAGGCUUUCCAAGAGAUUCUAGCGUAGCGUGCCUGGCGCACGUAAAUCCUGAAUAUUUCCUUCCCAGAAGAGCUGCUAAGCUAAAAGGCUACCCGUGUUAACUGUUACCUGCAGGAACUGACACAUUUGUGUGUCUCCCAUGGCAUUACCACCUGGGGUCUGAGGACAAGCAAGAGGGAGCUCAGGGCCUCUGGAUGACUGCUUGAGGGAUCUGGGCCGCAUGUGGUAUUUACUUCUGCCACUUGCAGUGACCCAGACACAGAAAGGUUCUAGAGGUGAAUACCUGGCACCCUGGUGUGCCCAACAGAAGUGUAGGGCUUUGACUGUGGGUUACUCCACAGGACACCAGGCCUGAUGGUGGCACAUGGGCUACACCUGCCUCCAAGGGAAAAAGGAUCUUGGCUCAGGAGUUAGUGGGGCUCCUUAAGAGGGCUUUACGUAGGUUUGGAAGUGGAAAGGGAAUAUACUAGGCUCACCUGGGAGAAGCAUGAGCACUGCAAACACAUGUUUGCAUGACAGUGGAGGAUGGAAGCAGUGCUGCCAUCAAAGAUCAUGAAACUGUAGCACAAGUAAUGGGGAAAACAGGUUUCUUGCCAGAAUGCUGUCAGACAAAAAUACUACCAAAGAAAGACACAAUUGAGUUUUUUACAGCAGCCUUCAUACAGGGCUGCUGAUGGGGAUUUAUGAAGAAUAAAUCAUGAGUGCCUCUGCAUUCCCAUGCACAGUGCUGCCUCCCAGAAUACAUCAACCCUUCUCCAUUUUGCUCCUUCCAUUCCUAUGCAGAAUAAGGAAAUCAAUAGAGGGCGGGUCCAGGAAUUCACAUGCAAUGUGGGUGUACAUUGGGGAGUUCACAGACACCACUAUGUUAUGAGGUCACAGAGCCCUGUUUGAUGUGAGGUUCCAGAGCCCCACUGCUGCUCUUCAGUGCUCGCUCUGGGCAACACUGCAGCAGCAGCAGCAGCAGUGGCAGGAGCAGCAGAAUCAUGGUCCUGGGCCACUACCUCCUGCUCCUCUUUCUCCUGGCCCUGCAAGCCCAGAAUGCCCAGAGUGCUCCAACACCUGGGCAGGGAGCAGUUGUGGACACAGAGAGAACUCUUUCAGCCCCUGAGCUGGAGCCAAAUACCAUGCUGAUUCCGAGCUGGUACCUCAAGCGGAAUAAUUAUGACAAGGUUCCUGAAGAAUUCCCUGAAGGAUUCCCAGAUGUUUCAGAGGAGCUCCUGAACACCUUGCAUGAAGCCCCAUCUGGUUAGUAUAUCCCACUCUGUUAACCCUGGGACCUGGGAAGCUGAGCUUUUGGUUCCUGGAGGGAUGUGCUGUAUCCUGGACAGCCAGAAGUGCUGCAGGGAUUUCACACCAUUUCACACCUCCUGGAGUGAGCCAUAGAGAUGGUCCAGCACAGCGUCUGCUCACAGCUCUGCUUCCAGACGAUUGCCAGGGGCAUCUCCAGAUGCUGCUGCAAUUGUACCAUUACUGGCCAGAGCUGCUGUGUGCAGACACUGGCAUCCAGAUGUGGGGAAAAGGCCUGUGCUGAAUUUGUGUUCGCCUCACACUCAGCACAGCAUGGAGGCAGAAAUGCUAUCCCACAAAAUCUUGGCUGCCCCUGCCAAACCUCAGGCUCAGGGAUGGGCUGAAGCUGGACCCCAAGUGUGAGGGUGAACCUGGAGGUAUUCCUUCUGUGGGUCAUUUGGUUGAUUAAGUCUUGGCUGGUUUGGGUCUGCAUUUCUUGUUGCACUGCAGAAAAUCUGGCUAUGGAUUCCUCUUGUCUUGGGGGACAGCAGGCUCCUCACUGCCACUUGCCAGAAUGCCCGGCCACGGUACUGUGCUCUUGGAAAGGGACAGUGGCUUCUGGUUACAGUGUCCAGUGUUUUUUUCUGAAGAGACGGAUUCUGAGACUGUGCUGGAGACCUUCCCUAUGGAAGAAAAUGGCAGCCUGCCAGGCUCAGAUGAAGAAAGAGAACCAACAGAGGACACCAGCACACUUGCUGAGCCUGGGGAAUAUUCAUGGUCAGCUGCUGGGCAAAAAGCCAAGACUGCUGGACAGUGGGAAUUUAGCAAGAACUACAUUCUAGCAUCUGUAGCAGUCUCGGCUCUGCUGCUGCUUGCAGCAGUGGUUGGGUACAUAAUCAUGUACCAGGCUGCUGAAGCGAGACAUGUGAGUUAUUCAUUGCUGCCAUUGGCAAUGAAGGGUUUGCACCAGGCUGGAGUGCCCAGGCAGCUCCUAGCAAGGCUCUGUGGAAACCGCUGCAGUGCAAUGCUUUAACUGUGCUCCAAAUUCAUAUCUAUGAGGAGUCUUGGAAAUCUGUUUCUACAGCAGGACUCAGGAAGACAAGGAGGCAACAAGACAGGACUGGGACUCUUCCAGGGAAAGCUGUGGUCUGCCUAGACGUGAAGCAGAAUCAAGCUGCCGCCUGUUUCCUGAGGUCUUUGCAGCAGAGCUUGCCCAGGUGUACAAGAACAUGGGCACAGACCGCUCACCUCUGCCCAUGUGUUCCUUCUGUGCUCUGGCUGACGGUGCUUCUUCACGGGACCACUGGAUUUCCCUGGACUCACCUCAGCCCACACCAUUCUGGUGCCCCUGCUACCAGUACCAGCAGGAACACUUUAUAUUAGGGGACCAUGAUUAGUGAUAGUGAGAGUUAUAAAUAGUGAUAGGGAUGGUGACACCUGCAGUGAUACUUUUAGUGGUAGUGACACUUUUAGUGAUAGUGAUACUUUAUAUUAGAGGAUAACGAUUAUUUUACUGAUAGUGGUAGCAUAUAAAUAAAUGUAUUUCCAAAAGCAGUAAGUCCUUGGCUGUUGCGGAUGUUUCUGUUGGGGUAGAAUGCACAGAGCUGGGAGCAGGUCUGGGGCUGGUAGAGGAGCUCUGAGCAACUUGCACUGCAGUGCAGGAGCUGUUUGUGCCAGCCUCAGCCUGCUUUCCCAGCAGUGGCCAGUAACAAGGCUUUCCUUCACCAGAAUAAGGACACGCUAGUGAGGAGUGACAUGCAGAAACUCCUCUACGAGCUCAUUUGGGAUGCUGCCCAGAAUCAGGAAGGUCUGGACAGAGAGGAUAGGAUGUUGUGGGAAGGAUGGCUGUCCAGUGCUAAUCACAUCAAGGAGACCUGAGAUCGUGACUUAGAUCAUGGGGGAUGUGGCAGUUCCCUCCCCAAAGAACUCAAAGAGGAUCAAGGAGCAGAAAGCUGGAGCUGGGCUGUGUGAGAUGCAGAGGGGAAGGAAUGCGAUACUAGUCACAGGAGCAUUACUAAAAAUUAUAUUGAUAACAGAGAGAGCAGUUAUAAUAAAAAACACAGUAUUUUCCCACUCACUAUGGGAAAAAAGCCGAAGGUGGAGCAAAGCUUGGGAAGUUUGCUCUGGGCUUUUGCUUGAGCAAGUGCGGCAGUUGCAGGCUGUGUGUGGCUCCUUAGUUGCUGUUUUGGGACUUGGCUUUUGUUUCAGGGAGAUUAAGACCAAAGCAAUACAGACCUGGGCAUUUCCUGCUCAAUUUCUAAAGUAACGGAAUGUAGGACUGUGAAGAAGGCCGUUGAGGUAGAAAGAAGUGACAGAGUGCCCGCCUCAGAUGAAGAAAGUGAGGCAGUGCAAGAAACCAGCAUGAUGGAAUAGCUGCCCUGGGAUGAUGAGUCAGAUUCACUGUGGUCCCGCAGGCCUUUCCUCAUGCCUGCUCCAGCUUGGCCACCUACAGCCAAAGCUGGAGGUGUGAGUGCAGCAAAGCUGUUGUCCAGAAUCACGGCACAGGCUCUGAGGCUGAUUGUUGCCUGCAGUGUGUGGGGAGGAUAUUGCCAGCAGCAAUUGCCAGAGAGAUGCUUGACGGCAUCUCUGGACACUGUGGGGUUUUGGAGGGGUUCUUACACUUUUAGCUCAGGCAGUAAAGACUGUCCCAAGACAAUGCUAUUCCCUUUGAAGUGCUGAAGAGGAACCACUGAGCUCCUCACCCUUGUCCCUCUCCUCUCCACAGCAGCUCCAGCUCCACCUCUGGGCUGUCUCUCAUGGGGCUCUUAGCAGCCUCUGAGAUACCCCACCUCCUGAGAGGGCAGCCCAAGCUCUUUUCAGAAGAGAGCUGUGCCUCAACACUUGAACCAAGCCUUGCAAACUCUUGUGAUAUAGACAUCCACACUUGCAGCCCUGCAGAUGCACAUGUGAACUGAGAUGCACAUGUGGGACACAUGCAUGCCCAUGCCCUGCAGUGCUAUUUCUGAAAUGCCCGGGCUGCUUCUGAGGGAGCUGACGUGCCACUGCAGCAGGAAAACACCUCUGCAUACAAGGGGCUGCAGCAACAACCACCCCUGGGUUUCUCCUUGUGUGUUGUUCUGUUCAGUCGCCAGUCCCUUGGUUUCUCGCUAUAUUCCUGUUCUCUCCCACUCCCUCUCUGUCUUGCUGUCUAUCCAAAGCUUCUUCAACAAUCUCCAUCCCGCCCCAACCCAGACUUCGUUCUCUCCUACUCAUUCUGCUCCUUUCUGCUCAUUCUGCGUCUCUUCCUCUUUCCCUGCUGCGUCUUCCUGCAGCUCUGCUCCCAUUCCCUGCCCCUCUUUUGCUCUCGUUGCCUCUCCGUUCUGCUUCCUGUCCCUGUCUCUUCUGUCUUUAUUUCUCGGCUCUGCUCCCUGUGCCACGCUCAGCUCAGACUCCCAGGCGAGCUGCCCCGGCAGCCGGGACACGGCGGAGAGCUCUCCUGCAGCAGCGGCGAAUCGGGCCCGGGAGAGGCGCCUCGGCCCUCGGGCCGGAGCGGGGGCGCUCCGCGCCAGCGGGAGCAGCUGGAGCUGCGGCCCGGGAGGCGGGGCGGGCACAGCCCCACAGCCCCGUUCCCGCCCCUCAUGGCCACAAUGGGAAAGAACAGGGGUUCUCUUGGGAAACCAAGAGACUGGCAACUGGACAGAGCAACACACAAGGGGAAACCCAGGGGCGGUUUUUGCUGCAGCCCAAUAAAUCCAGAGGUGUUUUCCUGCUGCAGUGGUUGCUCCGAGCCAGCGGGAGCAGCUGGAGCUGCGGGGCGGGCACAGCCCCACAACCGCGUGCCCGCCCCUCACGGCCCCGUGCGAAAUGGCGGCAGCAGGGGGCAAGGAGGCCGCGGGCCCCGGGCAGCGCUGCCUCCGUGCCGUGCCACACACGCGGCAGGCGGCUUCAGCAGCAGCACAGGUCUCGGGGCACUGGUCCCACAGCUGGUGACGAGCCGCCGAGCAGCGCAAUGCCUCGAGUGCGUUAAAGGAGAGACUGGGUGUAUAACCCGUUAAAGGAACAAAGAAGGGCAGUGUUCAUCGGUGCCACCCCUCGGGCAGGAAUAGAGGGCCCGAGAUAGCACUCAGACUCAAUGCCGAGGCAGCUGGGCAGCCUGCCUGGCUUCUGGGCAGGAGAUGUCACCAAGACAUCCUCCAGCCUGGUACGGCCCUCUGCUUAUCAUUAUGUGCCACAGCCUUCAAGGUGGGCUGUGAUCUGUGCUCAAUUCCAGAGGAUGGCAUUGGCCAAGCUGAUGCGGCUUGUCGGUUGGAGUCUGCUUAUGAGCCUUGGAGAGACACCCUAAAGGGGGAAAUCUGUCCGUGCCUCUGUGCUUGCAGCUCUAAACACCUGGGGGUUAACUGGUGCUUCAGGGGCAAUUAUACCAAAGGUGCUCUAGAAGGCUUUCCAAGAGAUUCUAGCGUAGCGUGCCUGGCGCACGUAAAUCCUGAAUAUUUCCUUCCCAGAAGAGCUGCUAAGCUAAAAGGCUACCCGUGUUAACUGUUACCUGCAGGAACUGACACAUUUGUGUGUCUCCCAUGGCAUUACCACCUGGGGUCUGAGGACAAGCAAGAGGGAGCUCAGGGCCUCUGGAUGACUGCUUGAGGGAUCUGGGCCGCAUGUGGUAUUUACUUCUGCCACUUGCAGUGACCCAGACACAGAAAGGUUCUAGAGGUGAAUACCUGGCACCCUGGUGUGCCCAACAGAAGUGUAGGGCUUUGACUGUGGGUUACUCCACAGGACACCAGGCCUGAUGGUGGCACAUGGGCUACACCUGCCUCCAAGGGAAAAAGGAUCUUGGCUCAGGAGUUAGUGGGGCUCCUUAAGAGGGCUUUACGUAGGUUUGGAAGUGGAAAGGGAAUAUACUAGGCUCACCUGGGAGAAGCAUGAGCACUGCAAACACAUGUUUGCAUGACAGUGGAGGAUGGAAGCAGUGCUGCCAUCAAAGAUCAUGAAACUGUAGCACAAGUAAUGGGGAAAACAGGUUUCUUGCCAGAAUGCUGUCAGACAAAAAUACUACCAAAGAAAGACACAAUUGAGUUUUUUACAGCAGCCUUCAUACAGGGCUGCUGAUGGGGAUUUAUGAAGAAUAAAUCAUGAGUGCCUCUGCAUUCCCAUGCACAGUGCUGCCUCCCAGAAUACAUCAACCCUUCUCCAUUUUGCUCCUUCCAUUCCUAUGCAGAAUAAGGAAAUCAAUAGAGGGCGGGUCCAGGAAUUCACAUGCAAUGUGGGUGUACAUUGGGGAGUUCACAGACACCACUAUGUUAUGAGGUCACAGAGCCCUGUUUGAUGUGAGGUUCCAGAGCCCCACUGCUGCUCUUCAGUGCUCGCUCUGGGCAACACUGCAGCAGCAGCAGCAGCAGUGGCAGGAGCAGCAGAAUCAUGGUCCUGGGCCACUACCUCCUGCUCCUCUUUCUCCUGGCCCUGCAAGCCCAGAAUGCCCAGAGUGCUCCAACACCUGGGCAGGGAGCAGUUGUGGACACAGAGAGAACUCUUUCAGCCCCUGAGCUGGAGCCAAAUACCAUGCUGAUUCCGAGCUGGUACCUCAAGCGGAAUAAUUAUGACAAGGUUCCUGAAGAAUUCCCUGAAGGAUUCCCAGAUGUUUCAGAGGAGCUCCUGAACACCUUGCAUGAAGCCCCAUCUGGUUAGUAUAUCCCACUCUGUUAACCCUGGGACCUGGGAAGCUGAGCUUUUGGUUCCUGGAGGGAUGUGCUGUAUCCUGGACAGCCAGAAGUGCUGCAGGGAUUUCACACCAUUUCACACCUCCUGGAGUGAGCCAUAGAGAUGGUCCAGCACAGCGUCUGCUCACAGCUCUGCUUCCAGACGAUUGCCAGGGGCAUCUCCAGAUGCUGCUGCAAUUGUACCAUUACUGGCCAGAGCUGCUGUGUGCAGACACUGGCAUCCAGAUGUGGGGAAAAGGCCUGUGCUGAAUUUGUGUUCGCCUCACACUCAGCACAGCAUGGAGGCAGAAAUGCUAUCCCACAAAAUCUUGGCUGCCCCUGCCAAACCUCAGGCUCAGGGAUGGGCUGAAGCUGGACCCCAAGUGUGAGGGUGAACCUGGAGGUAUUCCUUCUGUGGGUCAUUUGGUUGAUUAAGUCUUGGCUGGUUUGGGUCUGCAUUUCUUGUUGCACUGCAGAAAAUCUGGCUAUGGAUUCCUCUUGUCUUGGGGGACAGCAGGCUCCUCACUGCCACUUGCCAGAAUGCCCGGCCACGGUACUGUGCUCUUGGAAAGGGACAGUGGCUUCUGGUUACAGUGUCCAGUGUUUUUUUCUGAAGAGACGGAUUCUGAGACUGUGCUGGAGACCUUCCCUAUGGAAGAAAAUGGCAGCCUGCCAGGCUCAGAUGAAGAAAGAGAACCAACAGAGGACACCAGCACACUUGCUGAGCCUGGGGAAUAUUCAUGGUCAGCUGCUGGGCAAAAAGCCAAGACUGCUGGACAGUGGGAAUUUAGCAAGAACUACAUUCUAGCAUCUGUAGCAGUCUCGGCUCUGCUGCUGCUUGCAGCAGUGGUUGGGUACAUAAUCAUGUACCAGGCUGCUGAAGCGAGACAUGUGAGUUAUUCAUUGCUGCCAUUGGCAAUGAAGGGUUUGCACCAGGCUGGAGUGCCCAGGCAGCUCCUAGCAAGGCUCUGUGGAAACCGCUGCAGUGCAAUGCUUUAACUGUGCUCCAAAUUCAUAUCUAUGAGGAGUCUUGGAAAUCUGUUUCUACAGCAGGACUCAGGAAGACAAGGAGGCAACAAGACAGGACUGGGACUCUUCCAGGGAAAGCUGUGGUCUGCCUAGACGUGAAGCAGAAUCAAGCUGCCGCCUGUUUCCUGAGGUCUUUGCAGCAGAGCUUGCCCAGGUGUACAAGAACAUGGGCACAGACCGCUCACCUCUGCCCAUGUGUUCCUUCUGUGCUCUGGCUGACGGUGCUUCUUCACGGGACCACUGGAUUUCCCUGGACUCACCUCAGCCCACACCAUUCUGGUGCCCCUGCUACCAGUACCAGCAGGAACACUUUAUAUUAGGGGACCAUGAUUAGUGAUAGUGAGAGUUAUAAAUAGUGAUAGGGAUGGUGACACCUGCAGUGAUACUUUUAGUGGUAGUGACACUUUUAGUGAUAGUGAUACUUUAUAUUAGAGGAUAACGAUUAUUUUACUGAUAGUGGUAGCAUAUAAAUAAAUGUAUUUCCAAAAGCAGUAAGUCCUUGGCUGUUGCGGAUGUUUCUGUUGGGGUAGAAUGCACAGAGCUGGGAGCAGGUCUGGGGCUGGUAGAGGAGCUCUGAGCAACUUGCACUGCAGUGCAGGAGCUGUUUGUGCCAGCCUCAGCCUGCUUUCCCAGCAGUGGCCAGUAACAAGGCUUUCCUUCACCAGAAUAAGGACACGCUAGUGAGGAGUGACAUGCAGAAACUCCUCUACGAGCUCAUUUGGGAUGCUGCCCAGAAUCAGGAAGGUCUGGACAGAGAGGAUAGGAUGUUGUGGGAAGGAUGGCUGUCCAGUGCUAAUCACAUCAAGGAGACCUGAGAUCGUGACUUAGAUCAUGGGGGAUGUGGCAGUUCCCUCCCCAAAGAACUCAAAGAGGAUCAAGGAGCAGAAAGCUGGAGCUGGGCUGUGUGAGAUGCAGAGGGGAAGGAAUGCGAUACUAGUCACAGGAGCAUUACUAAAAAUUAUAUUGAUAACAGAGAGAGCAGUUAUAAUAAAAAACACAGUAUUUUCCCACUCACUAUGGGAAAAAAGCCGAAGGUGGAGCAAAGCUUGGGAAGUUUGCUCUGGGCUUUUGCUUGAGCAAGUGCGGCAGUUGCAGGCUGUGUGUGGCUCCUUAGUUGCUGUUUUGGGACUUGGCUUUUGUUUCAGGGAGAUUAAGACCAAAGCAAUACAGACCUGGGCAUUUCCUGCUCAAUUUCUAAAGUAACGGAAUGUAGGACUGUGAAGAAGGCCGUUGAGGUAGAAAGAAGUGACAGAGUGCCCGCCUCAGAUGAAGAAAGUGAGGCAGUGCAAGAAACCAGCAUGAUGGAAUAGCUGCCCUGGGAUGAUGAGUCAGAUUCACUGUGGUCCCGCAGGCCUUUCCUCAUGCCUGCUCCAGCUUGGCCACCUACAGCCAAAGCUGGAGGUGUGAGUGCAGCAAAGCUGUUGUCCAGAAUCACGGCACAGGCUCUGAGGCUGAUUGUUGCCUGCAGUGUGUGGGGAGGAUAUUGCCAGCAGCAAUUGCCAGAGAGAUGCUUGACGGCAUCUCUGGACACUGUGGGGUUUUGGAGGGGUUCUUACACUUUUAGCUCAGGCAGUAAAGACUGUCCCAAGACAAUGCUAUUCCCUUUGAAGUGCUGAAGAGGAACCACUGAGCUCCUCACCCUUGUCCCUCUCCUCUCCACAGCAGCUCCAGCUCCACCUCUGGGCUGUCUCUCAUGGGGCUCUUAGCAGCCUCUGAGAUACCCCACCUCCUGAGAGGGCAGCCCAAGCUCUUUUCAGAAGAGAGCUGUGCCUCAACACUUGAACCAAGCCUUGCAAACUCUUGUGAUAUAGACAUCCACACUUGCAGCCCUGCAGAUGCACAUGUGAACUGAGAUGCACAUGUGGGACACAUGCAUGCCCAUGCCCUGCAGUGCUAUUUCUGAAAUGCCCGGGCUGCUUCUGAGGGAGCUGACGUGCCACUGCAGCAGGAAAACACCUCUGCAUACAAGGGGCUGCAGCAACAACCACCCCUGGGUUUCUCCUUGUGUGUUGUUCUGUUCAGUCGCCAGUCCCUUGGUUUCUCGCUAUAUUCCUGUUCUCUCCCACUCCCUCUCUGUCUUGCUGUCUAUCCAAAGCUUCUUCAACAAUCUCCAUCCCGCCCCAACCCAGACUUCGUUCUCUCCUACUCAUUCUGCUCCUUUCUGCUCAUUCUGCGUCUCUUCCUCUUUCCCUGCUGCGUCUUCCUGCAGCUCUGCUCCCAUUCCCUGCCCCUCUUUUGCUCUCGUUGCCUCUCCGUUCUGCUUCCUGUCCCUGUCUCUUCUGUCUUUAUUUCUCGGCUCUGCUCCCUGUGCCACGCUCAGCUCAGACUCCCAGGCGAGCUGCCCCGGCAGCCGGGACACGGCGGAGAGCUCUCCUGCAGCAGCGGCGAAUCGGGCCCGGGAGAGGCGCCUCGGCCCUCGGGCCGGAGCGGGGGCGCUCCGCGCCAGCGGGAGCAGCUGGAGCUGCGGCCCGGGAGGCGGGGCGGGCACAGCCCCACAGCCCCGUUCCCGCCCCUCAUGGCCACAAUGGGAAAGAACAGGGGUUCUCUUGGGAAACCAAGAGACUGGCAACUGGACAGAGCAACACACAAGGGGAAACCCAGGGGCGGUUUUUGCUGCAGCCCAAUAAAUCCAGAGGUGUUUUCCUGCUGCAGUGGUUGCUCCGAGCCAGCGGGAGCAGCUGGAGCUGCGGGGCGGGCACAGCCCCACAACCGCGUGCCCGCCCCUCACGGCCCCGUGCGAAAUGGCGGCAGCAGGGGGCAAGGAGGCCGCGGGCCCCGGGCAGCGCUGCCUCCGUGCCGUGCCACACACGCGGCAGGCGGCUUCAGCAGCAGCACAGGUCUCGGGGCACUGGUCCCACAGCUGGUGACGAGCCGCCGAGCAGCGCAAUGCCUCGAGUGCGUUAAAGGAGAGACUGGGUGUAUAACCCGUUAAAGGAACAAAGAAGGGCAGUGUUCAUCGGUGCCACCCCUCGGGCAGGAAUAGAGGGCCCGAGAUAGCACUCAGACUCAAUGCCGAGGCAGCUGGGCAGCCUGCCUGGCUUCUGGGCAGGAGAUGUCACCAAGACAUCCUCCAGCCUGGUACGGCCCUCUGCUUAUCAUUAUGUGCCACAGCCUUCAAGGUGGGCUGUGAUCUGUGCUCAAUUCCAGAGGAUGGCAUUGGCCAAGCUGAUGCGGCUUGUCGGUUGGAGUCUGCUUAUGAGCCUUGGAGAGACACCCUAAAGGGGGAAAUCUGUCCGUGCCUCUGUGCUUGCAGCUCUAAACACCUGGGGGUUAACUGGUGCUUCAGGGGCAAUUAUACCAAAGGUGCUCUAGAAGGCUUUCCAAGAGAUUCUAGCGUAGCGUGCCUGGCGCACGUAAAUCCUGAAUAUUUCCUUCCCAGAAGAGCUGCUAAGCUAAAAGGCUACCCGUGUUAACUGUUACCUGCAGGAACUGACACAUUUGUGUGUCUCCCAUGGCAUUACCACCUGGGGUCUGAGGACAAGCAAGAGGGAGCUCAGGGCCUCUGGAUGACUGCUUGAGGGAUCUGGGCCGCAUGUGGUAUUUACUUCUGCCACUUGCAGUGACCCAGACACAGAAAGGUUCUAGAGGUGAAUACCUGGCACCCUGGUGUGCCCAACAGAAGUGUAGGGCUUUGACUGUGGGUUACUCCACAGGACACCAGGCCUGAUGGUGGCACAUGGGCUACACCUGCCUCCAAGGGAAAAAGGAUCUUGGCUCAGGAGUUAGUGGGGCUCCUUAAGAGGGCUUUACGUAGGUUUGGAAGUGGAAAGGGAAUAUACUAGGCUCACCUGGGAGAAGCAUGAGCACUGCAAACACAUGUUUGCAUGACAGUGGAGGAUGGAAGCAGUGCUGCCAUCAAAGAUCAUGAAACUGUAGCACAAGUAAUGGGGAAAACAGGUUUCUUGCCAGAAUGCUGUCAGACAAAAAUACUACCAAAGAAAGACACAAUUGAGUUUUUUACAGCAGCCUUCAUACAGGGCUGCUGAUGGGGAUUUAUGAAGAAUAGGACCUGAGUGCCUCUGCAUUCCCAUGCACAGUGCUGCCUCCCAGAAUACAUCAACCCUUCUCCAUUUUGCUCCUUCCAUUCCUAUGCAGAAUAAGGAAAUCAAUAGAGGGCGGGUCCAGGAAUUCACAUGCAAUGUGGGUGUACAUUGGGGAGUUCACAGACACCACUAUGUUAUGAGGUCACAGAGCCCUGUUUGAUGUGAGGUUCCAGAGCCCCACUGCUGCUCUUCAGUGCUCGCUCUGGGCAACACUGCAGCAGCAGCAGCAGCAGUGGCAGGAGCAGCAGAAUCAUGGUCCUGGGCCACUACCUCCUGCUCCUCUUUCUCCUGGCCCUGCAAGCCCAGAAUGCCCAGAGUGCUCCAACACCUGGGCAGGGAGCAGUUGUGGACACAGAGAGAACUCUUUCAGCCCCUGAGCUGGAGCCAAAUACCAUGCUGAUUCCGAGCUGGUACCUCAAGCGGAAUAAUUAUGACAAGGUUCCUGAAGAAUUCCCUGAAGGAUUCCCAGAUGUUUCAGAGGAGCUCCUGAACACCUUGCAUGAAGCCCCAUCUGGUUAGUAUAUCCCACUCUGUUAACCCUGGGACCUGGGAAGCUGAGCUUUUGGUUCCUGGAGGGAUGUGCUGUAUCCUGGACAGCCAGAAGUGCUGCAGGGAUUUCACACCAUUUCACACCUCCUGGAGUGAGCCAUAGAGAUGGUCCAGCACAGCGUCUGCUCACAGCUCUGCUUCCAGACGAUUGCCAGGGGCAUCUCCAGAUGCUGCUGCAAUUGUACCAUUACUGGCCAGAGCUGCUGUGUGCAGACACUGGCAUCCAGAUGUGGGGAAAAGGCCUGUGCUGAAUUUGUGUUCGCCUCACACUCAGCACAGCAUGGAGGCAGAAAUGCUAUCCCACAAAAUCUUGGCUGCCCCUGCCAAACCUCAGGCUCAGGGAUGGGCUGAAGCUGGACCCCAAGUGUGAGGGUGAACCUGGAGGUAUUCCUUCUGUGGGUCAUUUGGUUGAUUAAGUCUUGGCUGGUUUGGGUCUGCAUUUCUUGUUGCACUGCAGAAAAUCUGGCUAUGGAUUCCUCUUGUCUUGGGGGACAGCAGGCUCCUCACUGCCACUUGCCAGAAUGCCCGGCCACGGUACUGUGCUCUUGGAAAGGGACAGUGGCUUCUGGUUACAGUGUCCAGUGUUUUUUUCUGAAGAGACGGAUUCUGAGACUGUGCUGGAGACCUUCCCUAUGGAAGAAAAUGGCAGCCUGCCAGGCUCAGAUGAAGAAAGAGAACCAACAGAGGACACCAGCACACUUGCUGAGCCUGGGGAAUAUUCAUGGUCAGCUGCUGGGCAAAAAGCCAAGACUGCUGGACAGUGGGAAUUUAGCAAGAACUACAUUCUAGCAUCUGUAGCAGUCUCGGCUCUGCUGCUGCUUGCAGCAGUGGUUGGGUACAUAAUCAUGUACCAGGCUGCUGAAGCGAGACAUGUGAGUUAUUCAUUGCUGCCAUUGGCAAUGAAGGGUUUGCACCAGGCUGGAGUGCCCAGGCAGCUCCUAGCAAGGCUCUGUGGAAACCGCUGCAGUGCAAUGCUUUAACUGUGCUCCAAAUUCAUAUCUAUGAGGAGUCUUGGAAAUCUGUUUCUACAGCAGGACUCAGGAAGACAAGGAGGCAACAAGACAGGACUGGGACUCUUCCAGGGAAAGCUGUGGUCUGCCUAGACGUGAAGCAGAAUCAAGCUGCCGCCUGUUUCCUGAGGUCUUUGCAGCAGAGCUUGCCCAGGUGUACAAGAACAUGGGCACAGACCGCUCACCUCUGCCCAUGUGUUCCUUCUGUGCUCUGGCUGACGGUGCUUCUUCACGGGACCACUGGAUUUCCCUGGACUCACCUCAGCCCACACCAUUCUGGUGCCCCUGCUACCAGUACCAGCAGGAACACUUUAUAUUAGGGGACCAUGAUUAGUGAUAGUGAGAGUUAUAAAUAGUGAUAGGGAUGGUGACACCUGCAGUGAUACUUUUAGUGGUAGUGACACUUUUAGUGAUAGUGAUACUUUAUAUUAGAGGAUAACGAUUAUUUUACUGAUAGUGGUAGCAUAUAAAUAAAUGUAUUUCCAAAAGCAGUAA